rnacentral:rRNA from 1 species
GACAGAGGCCCCAAGCGUUAGGCGGAAUCACUGGGCUUAAAGCGUGUGUAGGCGGACUUCUAAGUGCCUUGUGAAAUCCCACGGCUCAACCGUGGAACUGCUGGGCAUACUGGGAGUCUUGGGCCAUUCAGGGGCAACUGGAACAAGCGGUGGAGCGGUGAAAUGCGUAGAUAUUGGGAGGAACACCAGUGGCGAAGGCGGCUCACUGGACUGGUACUGACGCUGAUGCGCGAAAGCGUGGGGAGCAAACGGG